AUUGAACGCUGGCGGCAUGCCUUACACAUGCAAGUCGAACGGCAGCAUGAUCUAGCUUGCUAGAUUGAUGGCGAGUGGCGAACGGGUGAGUAAUACAUCGGAACGUGCCCUGUAGUGGGGGAUAACUAGUCGAAAGAUUAGCUAAUACCGCAUACGACCUGAGGGUGAAAGUGGGGGACCGCAAGGCCUCAUGCUAUAGGAGCGGCCGAUGUCUGAUUAGCUAGUUGGUGAGGUAAAGGCUCACCAAGGCGACGAUCAGUAGCUGGUCUGAGAGGACGAUCAGCCACACUGGGACUGAGACACGGCCCAGACUCCUACGGGAGGCAGCAGUGGGGAAUUUUUGACAAUGGGCGAAAGCCUGAUCCAGCAAUGCCGCGUGUGUGAAGAAGGCCUUCGGGUUGUAAAGCACUUUUGUCCGGAAAGAAAUGGCUCUGGUUAAUACCUGGGGUCGAUGACGGUACCGGAAGAAUAAGGACCGGCUAACUACGUG
rnacentral:rRNA from 1 species